rnacentral:rRNA from 1 species
CCUACGGGUGGCUGCAGUGGGGAAUAUUGGACAAUGGGCGAAAGCCUGAUCCAGCCAUGCCGCGUGUGUGAAGAAGGCCUUCGGGUUGUAAAGCACUUUCAGUGGGGAAGAAAGCCUUGGGGCUAAUACCCUCGAGGAAGGACAUCACCCACAGAAGAAGCACCGGCUAACUCCGUGCCAGCAGCCGCGGUAAUACGGAGGGUGCGAGCGUUAAUCGGAAUUACUGGGCGUAAAGCGCGCGUAGGCGGUCUGAUAAGCCGGUUGUGAAAGCCCCGGGCUCAACCUGGGAACGGCAUCCGGAACUGUCAGGCUAGAGUGCAGGAGAGGAAGGUGGAAUUCCCGGUGUAGCGGUGAAAUGCGUAGAGAUCGGGAGGAAUACCAGUGGCGAAGGCGGCCUUCUGGACUGACACUGACGCUGAGGUGCGAAAGCGUGGGUAGCAAACAGGAUUAGAUACCCCUGUAGUC